rnacentral:pre_miRNA from 1 species
CAUAUACUCCCUCGGUCCCAAAAUUCUUGUCUUAAGUUUAUCUAGAAAUGGAUGUACCUAAAUACUAAAACUUGACUAGAUAUAUUUAUAUAUAGACAAAUGUAAGACAAGAAUUUUGGGACGGAGGGAGUAGUUA